rnacentral:miRNA from 1 species
UGCACUUUUUGGUAAGAAGAUGUUAACAAGAGUUGUUCGUCAUGAUGAGGGCUACAACUUUGCUUAAUAUUUUUUUAACAAAUUAUGCGUAUUUAAGGAGAUAGCGCUGCGCAUGCGCAGAACGUAUCUCCUUAUCUUUGCACUUUUUGGUAAGAAGAUGUUAACAAAAGUUGUUCGUCUUGAUGAGGGCUACAACUUUGCUUAAUAUCCUUUUAACAAAUUAUGCG